rnacentral:rRNA from 1 species
GUUAAGCGACUAAGCGUACACGGUGGAUGCCCUGGCAGUCAGAGGCGAUGAAGGACGUGCUAAUCUGCGAUAAGCGUCGGUAAGGUGAUAUGAACCGUUAUAACCGGCGAUUUCCGAAUGGGGAAACCCAGUGUGUUUCGACACACUAUCAUUAACUGAAUCCAUAGGUUAAUGAGGCGAACCGGGGGAACUGAAACAUCUAAGUACCCCGAGGAAAAGAAAUCAACCGAGAUUCCCCCAGUAGCGGCGAGCGAACGGGGAGCAGCCCAGAGCCUGAAUCAGUGUGUGUGUUAGUGGAAGCGUCUGGAAAGGCGCGCGAUACAGGGUGACAGCCCCGUACACAAAAAUGCACAUGCUGUGAGCUCGAUGAGUAGGGCGGGACACGUGGUAUCCUGUCUGAAUAUGGGGGGACCAUCCUCCAAGGCUAAAUACUCCUGACUGACCGAUAGUGAACCAGUACCGUGAGGGAAAGGCGAAAAGAACCCCGGCGAGGGGAGUGAAAAAGAACCUGAAACCGUGUACGUACAAGCAGUGGGAGCACGCUUCGGCGUGUGACUGCGUACCUUUUGUAUAAUGGGUCAGCGACUUAUAUUCUGUAGCAAGGUUAACCGAAUAGGGGAGCCGAAGGGAAACCGAGUCUUAACUGGGCGUUAAGUUGCAGGGUAUAGACCCGAAACCCGGUGAUCUAGCCAUGGGCAGGUUGAAGGUUGGGUAACACUAACUGGAGGACCGAACCGACUAAUGUUGAAAAAUUAGCGGAUGACUUGUGGCUGGGGGUGAAAGGCCAAUCAAACCGGGAGAUAGCUGGUUCUCCCCGAAAGCUAUUUAGGUAGCGCCUCGUGAAUUCAUCUCCGGGGGUAGAGCACUGUUUCGGCAAGGGGGUCAUCCCGACUUACCAACCCGAUGCAAACUGCGAAUACCGGAGAAUGUUAUCACGGGAGACACACGGCGGGUGCUAACGUCCGUCGUGAAGAGGGAAACAACCCAGACCGCCAGCUAAGGUCCCAAAGUCAUGGUUAAGUGGGAAACGAUGUGGGAAGGCCCAGACAGCCAGGAUGUUGGCUUAGAAGCAGCCAUCAUUUAAAGAAAGCGUAAUAGCUCACUGGUCGAGUCGGCCUGCGCGGAAGAUGUAACGGGGCUAAACCAUGCACCGAAGCUGCGGCAGCGACGCUGAUGCGUUGUUGGGUAGGGGAGCGUUCUGUAAGCCUGCGAAGGUGUGCUGUGAGGCAUGCUGGAGGUAUCAGAAGUGCGAAUGCUGACAUAAGUAACGAUAAAGCGGGUGAAAAGCCCGCUCGCCGGAAGACCAAGGGUUCCUGUCCAACGUUAAUCGGGGCAGGGUGAGUCGACCCCUAAGGCGAGGCCGAAAGGCGUAGUCGAUGGGAAACAGGUUAAUAUUCCUGUACUUGGUGUUACUGCGAAGGGGGGACGGAGAAGGCUAUGUUGGCCGGGCGACGGUUGUCCCGGUUUAAGCGUGUAGGCUGGUUUUCCAGGCAAAUCCGGAAAAUC